UUUAUUUUCUCCCUUCUUCACUUUUCUGUCUUUGCUCUUUGCCUCCUCUUACAAAGUGAGGUGUGAUGAUUUUUAAUAAGGGGCUGUGAGAAGAAACCGUCUCAGUCCCCCCUUUCUCAAUGCUGGGGAUCGAUCUGAACUAACCAGGGCCAUUGGUGGUGACGAGAAAAGAGGCGUAGUGAAGACUGAGUUGAAUUACAAUGGAAGCAUGUGGAUUCACCCAGGUGCCUCUUGCUGGACUAAUCUCUAAAGAACUGUACUUAAUGAAAUAUUGAGGAAUUCAACAAACAUGUAUCCUCCCUUCACAUACUAUUGAGAAUUUUUUUAAAAAGCCAUUCUCCUAUUUGAAUUUGAUGCUUUAUAUGUCAUCAUUAAAGAAGGUCUAUGAUAGUUAA